rnacentral:rRNA from 1 species
AACGAACGCUGGCGGCAUGCCUAACACAUGCAAGUCGAACGGAUUGUAGCAAUACAGUCAGUGGCGAACGGGUGAAUAACGCGUGGGAACCUGCCUUGGAGUUCGGAAUAACCGCGGGAAACUGCGGCUAAUACCGGAUACGACCUGAGGGUGAAAGCAGAAAUGCGCUCCAAGAGGGGCCCGCGUCCGAUUAGCUAGUUGGUGGGGUAACGGCCUACCAAGGCGAUGAUCGGUAGCUGGUCUGAGAGGAUGAUCAGCCACACUGGAACUGAGACACGGUCCAGACUCCUACGGGAGGCAGCAGUGGGGAAUAUUGGACAAUGGGGGAAACCCUGAUCCAGCAAUGCCGCGUGGGUGAUGAAGGCCUUCGGGUUGUAAAGCCCUUUCGGCGGGGACGAUGAUGACGGUACCCGCAGAAGAAGCCCCGGCUAACUUCGUGCCAGCAGCCGCAGUAAUAC